UACGGAGGGGGCUAGCGUUGUUCGGAAUUACUGGGCGUAAAGCGCACGUAGGCGGCUUUGUAAGUUAGAGGUGAAAUCCUGUAGCUUAACUCCAGAAUUGCCUUUAAGACUGCAUCGCUUGAAUCCGGGAGAGGUGAGUGGAAUUCCGAGUGUAGAGGUGAAAUUCGUAGAUAUUCGGAAGAACACCAGUGGCGAAGGCGGCCCGCUGGACCGGCAUUGACGCUGAGGUGCGAAAGCGUGGGGAGCAAACAGG
rnacentral:rRNA from 1 species